UCAAUUUCCUUCCACUCACUUAAUAACUCAUAUUAAGGUCACUCCAUCCACUCACUCCAUCCACACACUCCAACCCCCUUCACUCUAAAUUUCCUUUUGUUUCUCUAAAUCCUUCCAAUCCCUCUAGGCAGUCCCUCCUCUCCUGUCCAUUUAAAUUUCCUUUUCUUCUUCAAAAUCCCUAAUCGAAAGCUUUGUGUGGCAAAGUUUGAGAGAGGCUUGCGAAGGAUCAAUGACGUUCCAUCCUUCCAGUGUUUCUCUUCUUGAGCUUUGUUCCUUCCAGGGUUCAUUGUUGCUUUGUUCCUUCCAGGGUUCGUUGUUGCUUUGUUCCUUCCAGGGUUUCUUUCAUGAAAUGUUGAAUGGAUAGGAAGAGGGAUUUGUAUUCUUUUCGGGGAUGCUGCUGGUUCUAUACUAGUACAGGUAAUUGC
rnacentral:lncRNA from 1 species